AAACCUUCAUGAUGAGCUGCAUGUGAGUCCGUGUUUCACCUGAAGCAGAUGAUUAUUCUUUCACUGCACUGAUGGGUUU
ensembl:snoRNA